CCUACGGACUGUCACACAAAUGAUAGUAACUCGAAUUUUAGUGAACUCAGACAGGUUGAACUAGGAA
rnacentral:ncRNA from 1 species